ACCAUCUCCCUCAGUCACGACGACCACUCCCAGUCUGUGCUUCUUUUACAGAAUUUUAGAUCCGUAACACAAUGAGAGUUCUAGAAUGUAUGUUCCUCCUGGCUCUCAUCUCAGCUGUUCAGGGACAGUCACUCACCUCCUCUGAGUCAGUGGUGAAGAGACCUAGUGAGUCAGUAACACUGUCCUGUACUGUGUCUGGUUUCUCCAUGGGUAGCUACUGGAUGCACUGGAUCCGUCAGAAACCAGGGAAAGGUCUAGAGUGGAUUGGAUACAUUGACAGGGGCACUGGCACUGUAUUUGCCCAGUCUCUCCAGGGCCAGUUCACCAUCACCAAAGACAACUCUAAAAACCAGCUGUACUUAGAGGUGAAAAGUCUGAAGACUGAAGACUCUGCUGUUUAUUAUUGUGCCAGAGACACAGUGACACAGGAGUCUGCAGCACCGUACAAAAACUGAUCAACACUGAUCACA